rnacentral:rRNA from 1 species
AAAUUGAAGAGUUUGAUCAUGGCUCAGAUUGAACGCUGGCGGCAGGCCUAACACAUGCAAGUCGAACGGUAACAGGAAGCAGCUUGCUGCUUUGCUGACGAGUGGCGGACGGGUGAGUAAUGUCUGGGAAACUGCCUGAUGGAGGGGGAUAACUACUGGAAACGGUGGCUAAUACCGCAUAACGUCGCAAGACCAAAGAGGGGGACCUUCGGGCCUCUUGCCAUCAGAUGUGCCCAGAUGGGAUUAGCUUGUUGGUGAGGUAACGGCUCACCAAGGCGACGAUCCCUAGCUGGUCUGAGAGGAUGACCAGCCACACUGGAACUGAGACACGGUCCAGACUCCUACGGGAGGCAGCAGUGGGGAAUAUUGCACAAUGGGCGCAAGCCUGAUGCAGCCAUGCCGCGUGUAUGAAGAAGGCCUUCGGGUUGUAAAGUACUUUCAGCGGGGAGGAAGGUGUUGUGGUUAAUAACCGCAGCAAUUGACGUUACCCGCAGAAGAAGCACCGGCUAACUCCGUGCCAGCAGCCGCGGUAAUACGGAGGGUGCAAGCGUUAAUCGGAAUUACUGGGCGUAAAGCGCACGCAGGCGGUCUGUCAAGUCGGAUGUGAAAUCCCCGGGCUCAACCUGGGAACUGCAUUCGAAACUGGCAGGCUUGAGUCUUGUAGAGGGGGGUAGAAUUCCAGGUGUAGCGGUGAAAUGCGUAGAGAUCUGGAGGAAUACCGGUGGCGAAGGCGGCCCCCUGGACAAAGACUGACGCUCAGGUGCGAAAGCGUGGGGAGCAAACAGGAUUAGAUACCCUGGUAGUCCACGCCGUAAACGAUGUCUACUUGGAGGUUGUGCCCUUGAGGCGUGGCUUCCGGAGCUAACGCGUUAAGUAGACCGCCUGGGGAGUACGGCCGCAAGGUUAAAACUCAAAUGAAUUGACGGGGGCCCGCACAAGCGGUGGAGCAUGUGGUUUAAUUCGAUGCAACGCGAAGAACCUUACCUGGUCUUGACAUCCACGGAAGUUUUCAGAGAUGAGAAUGUGCCUUCGGGAACCGUG